rnacentral:rRNA from 1 species
GUCCACGCCCUAAACGAUGUCUACUAGUUGUCGGGUCUUAAUUGACUUGGUAACGCAGCUAACGCGUGAAGUAGACCGCCUGGGGAGUACGGUCGCAAGAUUAAAACUCAAAGGAAUUGACGGGGACCCGCACAAGCGGUGGAUGAUGUGGAUUAAUUCGAUGCAACGCGAAAAACCUUACCUACCCUUGACAUGGAUGGAAUCCCGAAGAGAUUUGGGAGUGCUCGAAAGAGAGCCAUUACACAGGUGCUGCAUGGCUGUCGU